rnacentral:rRNA from 1 species
CUUUUGGUAGCAAUACCGAAAGUGAUUCAGUGGCGAACGGGUGCGUAACACGUGGGCAAUCUACCGAGAAGUGGGGGAUAGCUCGCCGAAAGGCGAAUUAAUACCGCAUGUGAUCAGAGGCGACAUCGCUUCGAAAUCAAAGGUGGCGCAAGCUACCGCUUUUUGAGGAGCCCGCGGCCUAUCAGCUUGUUGGUGAGGUAACGGCUUACCAAGGCGAUGACGGGUAGCUGGUCUGAGAGGACGACCAGUCACACUGGGACUGAGACACGGCCCAGACACCUACGGGUGGCAGCAGUCGAGAAUUUUUCUCAAUGGGGGGAACCCUGAAGGAGCGACGCCGCGUGGAGGAUGAAGGUCUUCGGAUUGUAAACUCCUGUCAUUUGGGAACAAGGCUGUGGGGUUAACUGCCGCGCAGUUGAUAGUACCAGAAGAGGAAGAGACGGCUAACUCUGUGCCAGCAGCCGCGGUAAUACAGAGGUCUCAAGCGUUGUUCGGAUUCAUUGGGCGUAAAGGGUGCGUAGGCGGCGCGGUAAGUCGGAUGUGAAAUUUCGAGGCUUAACUUCGAAACUGCAUUUGAUACUGCCGUGCUUGAGGACUGGAGAGGAGACUGGAAUUUACGGUGUAGCGGUGAAAUGCGUAGAUAUCGUAAGGAAGACCAGUGGCGAAGGCGGGUCUCUGGACAGUUCCUGACGCUGAGGCACGAAGGCCAGGGGAGCAAACGGGAUUAGAUACCCCGGUAGUCCUGGCAAUAAACGGUGCACGUUUGGUGUGGGAGGAUUCGA